GGUUCAUUUAUAUGUUUCAAGAAACAAACAUUGAACUUCUACCCCCUUUUUGUAGUUAAAUGAUUGCUCACUUAGGAGACAGCUUCAGGUAUAUCAAUACACAGUUACAAGUUUAGUUUCGCAUUAUAGCCAUGGUGAAUUUUCUAAAUAUGAAAGUUUUUGUACAAUUGAAUUGAUUUUUAGAUAGUUGAAUAAUAAUAUAGCCUUCCUAGUGGGUUUAUAUGAACAUUUAGAUUGUUUUUAGCAUGUUUUAUAAGCCAUUUUUCAGUUUGAACGUCCAUACGUUCCUAUCCGUACCGCCAUAGAUUUAGAAAUUUUGUAUUGUUUUUCAACAAAGAUUUGACGCUCGAUCUUUUCAAUUCAAUUU
rnacentral:lncRNA from 1 species